AUUGAACGCUGGCGGCAUGCCUUACACAUGCAAGUCGAACGGUAACGGGCCUUCGGGUGCCGACGAGUGGCGAACGGGUGAGUAAUACAUCGGAACGUGCCCGAUCGUGGUGGAUAACGAGGCGAAAGCUUUGCUAAUACCGCAUACGAUCUACGGAUGAAAGCAGGGGACCGCAAGGCCUUGCGCGGACUGAGCGGCCGAUGUCAGAUUAGGUAGUUGGUGGGAUAAAAGCUUACCAAGCCGACGAUCUGUAGCUGGUCUGAGAGGAUGAUCAGCCACACUGGGACUGAGACACGGCCCAGACUCCUACGGGAGGCAGCAGUGGGGAAUUUUGGACAAUGGGCGCAAGCCUGAUCCAGCCAUGCCGCGUGCAGGAUGAAGGCCUUCGGGUUGUAAACUGCUUUUGUACGGAACGAAAAGCCUUCUUUUAAUACAGGAGGGUCAUGACGGUACCGUAAGAAUAAGCACCGGCUAACUACGUG
rnacentral:rRNA from 1 species